AUCCCAUGAUGAGGACAGGCGGCCACGUAUUCCUAAAGUCGUUCCCAUGCUUCAGGAAUGGACUCGUCCCUUGUCUGCUGGAAACUUGAAAUUCUUCCGCGUAGGGC
rfam:Oryza glaberrima chromosome 7 Oglab07_0049_5, whole genome shotgun sequence.